UGUUACGGCACCGUUGCCGUUUGAAAGUGCUUUUGGUUGCUCGGAACAGACGCUGAAUCAGCACAGCUUCCACGUGCGGCGGUUUCGCGUUUGCUGACACGCAGAAGGGAAAAACAGCAAAAUAAGUAAUCAGUGGUGUGUAUUCUGUCCUA
rnacentral:lncRNA from 1 species